AAAAAAGAAUUGUGUUAGCUUCACCAAUUUGCGUCGGCCUUCAAUUGCCGUCGCCAAUGCCUCCUCUUUUGCGACGGCAAAAACUGAGGGGUCGCGAUUGUGCAAAAUAUUUGCGACGGUAACAACUGCCGUCGCCACUGGGCGUGGCAAACCCAAUGGUUUACUUCGGCAAGAGUUAGCCGUAGUAAAAUAUCAAGAGUUUGCGACGGUAAAAGACAUGCCGUCGCGUCUUCCCGUGGUAUGAAAAUCACCCUCUGCUCAAAAAGAAAAAGAAAAAAAAAAAAACCUCUCUCUCCGUCAUCGCAAAUCCCUUCUUUCGCCAAUACUUCUGUCUAAGCUCUUCCUUAUCGGCAAACCAAAUUGGGGAAAUCUUUUGGGGGUAUCGUUCAGAUCUAGAUCCCUCACCUGCAAAAGAGUCAAUUGGGUCGCAUAUCGUAAACGACGUCGGUGAGUCCGUUUCAGGGGAGCUCUAGCUGACUGGAGACCAGGGCUAAGAUGGGUUUCAGUUUAGGAUUCUUGGUCGGCAUCUUUGGAGUUCUAAUUCUCUCUCAUGCCGCUUAAUCAACCGUUCUUAUUUUCCUCUCUCUCGGCAACCAAGAGCAGCCUCCAUCUCUCUUUUCUUCGAGCAGCCUCCAAACCCAAAACCCAGAGAAGCAUUGGGCGAGACCUCCCCAAACCGAAAACCCAAAACCCAAAUCACUGUUCGAGCUUCUUCCACUGCCUUCGUCGAGACCUCCCCAACUUGAUGGGACCAAAACCAAUGUUGAGAGGAACAAAGAGGGGUACAAGUGAACAGGCAAUUGGGCACAGAAGACAUAAAUCUAAUUGUAUUUUUUUCAUCAAUACAUCAGUAUAAUGCGGCUAAAUCAAAGAAAUCGAAAACAAGUAGGUGUAUUUUAUGCGUUCGGAAUUUUGCUGUAUGCAGAAAAUUCCCAGUAUUCACCUGAUGAAAUAGAAAGGUUAGAUGACUUGUACAAAUCAUUUGGGCAGAAAUACAGCUGGUCUUCAGCUGUUAAGAGAACUUAAUUGGGAAAGGUGGGCAGGCAGAAGCUCACACUGCAGUUGGUUUGCAGGAUUAUAAUGAGUAUUCCCUUUCAAAAAAUUGGAGUAGAGACAUACAGUGUUGAAAAGGGAUUCACUCUCGGAUUACAUUUUUGCUCUGAAUCCCUGUGUAUAAAACCGACAUCUCCAGCUGCUUUCCAAUAAGAGAAGCCUCCAUCAAAUUCACCAUCUACUGUUACGCAAUAUCAGGCUUAUCCAUCACAAUCAACAUCACCGAAGACUGGGUUGGCUACCUAUGAUCUAUCUGAGCUGCAAAUUGAGGGUGAUGCAAAUUGCCAGGUUUGACGAAUCUGUGAAUGUCAAGCAGCUUGAGGACAUAUUGUGAUCCAUGUCAACUUCCACUAUCGGAUAGCCUAUCUGCAGCAAAGCGCGGACACGCUUUCUAGUUUUCUUUUGUUCUUUGGUUGAUGAUAAGUGUUGUUCAAUUGAUCAAACAUGUUUAUCAACUAUAUAUGUAUUUGAAUAUUGUAUUCAUGUUUUGGUGCAUUUUAUAUAAAAUUUAUUAUUUGGCUU